CAUCCAUUGUCUAUAUCCUUUGCGUUCCACUUCGGGGAUUGCUCCGGUGCUGCAGGAAAUUCCUCUGGAUGCAUGUAUUUGCUGUUUCCUUCCGCUUUCUUUGUGUUGGAAUUUUAAAUUCGGUGGA